AGAGCAUGGAAAUACCCCAGCUACCCUGCUUUUGAAACAGAAUCCUAUUUGGAAGGCAGACAUGUGGCCCAUCUCUGUAGCCAUCACUGAGAAAUCUGGAUUUUCAAGGUCCUUUCUCUCUGUUGCCCAGGCUGGAGUUUAGCGACCCAGUCAUGGCUCACUGACUGCAGCCUCAACCUCCAGGGCUCAAGUGAUCCUUUAAUCUCAGCCUCCUCAGUAGCUGAGACUACAGGCUCCUCCAGAUCUGCCUCCUGCUGACCUUGUACCCAGCUGCAGCGACACCGAGCUCCUCACAGCUUCCCAAAGUGGGCUGGACCCUCUCAUGACAGGGUCAUCGCACAGGCUCCCUCUGUGGGGGAACACAACGGGAGUCAUUGAAACACCAGUUUCUUCAGGAAGCCUAUUCUGAUCCUUGGUACUCCAAGCAGCUGUUGUCAAUGCCUACCCCAGGCUGCUAGGAAAUCCUUUCCACUCGGAACUGAGACCUAAAACUGGAAACUAGGCUGCAGGACCACCUGGGUACGUGUGAAUUACAGAGGUUCAUGCAUUUCCAAAUAGGGGGCAUGAGAACUGGGGCGUAAGAUGAUGAGCAACAGAAAAGACAACGCCGAGCCCCGGAAUGUGAACUCAGAACUCUUUACAUGUUUGAUUCUCCAAAUGGUCUAGGGCAGGGGGACUUCAGGGCCUUGGCAGCGGAACGUGGUCGCGUAGAUGUUUAUCUGAUUUUCUGCUGCGCUGCUGCUCAACAGCCACUACAGAAGUGCACACUGCCACCUUAUGGACAUCUUGAGAAGUUACACUUAAACGUUAUUAAUUAUA
rnacentral:sRNA from 1 species